rnacentral:rRNA from 1 species
CAGUAGCCGCGGUAAUACGAAGGGUGCAAGCGUUAAUCGGAAUUACUGGGCGUAAAGCGUGCGUAGGCGGUUUGUUAAGUCUGUUGUGAAAUCCCCGGGCUCAACCUGGGAAUGGCAAUGGAUACUGGCAAGCUAGAGUGUGUCAGAGGAUGGUGGAAUUCCCGGUGUAGCGGUGAAAUGCGUAGAGGUCGGGAGGAACAUCAGUGGCGAAGGCGGCCAUCUGGGACAACACUGACGCUGAGGCACGAAAGCGUGGGGGGCAAACAGGAUUAGAUACCCCCGUAGUCCCUGUCUCUUAACA